rnacentral:rRNA from 1 species
UACGGAGGGUGCAAGCGUUAUCCGGAUUCACUGGGUUUAAAGGGAGCGUAGGUGGGGUGGUAAGUCAGUGGUGAAAUCUCCGGGCUUAACUCGGAAACUGCCGUUGAUACUAUCAUUCUUGAAUAUUUGUGGAGGUAAGCGGAAUAUGUCAUGUAGCGGUGAAAUGCUUAGAUAUGACAUAGAACACCAAUUGCGAAGGCAGCUGGCUACACAAAUAUUGACACUGAGGCACGAAAGCGUGGGGAUCAAACAGG